rnacentral:misc_RNA from 1 species
GACUAACACCCUAACUGCUCUACUUUUUACUCAUAACAAAUCACUCCACAGUAACUAUUCCAGUACCAGAACUUUCAAUCACUAUAACUAUAAUAAACCAUAUAUGUGCAUAAUUCUGCAUGAUUUAAUUAUUUUCACUCCUAGAAGAAUUAGGAAUUCCAUCACUUGUCAUGUUCCUUGUUCAUUUAAGAAACCAAAAUUUAACUAAUGACAUAUACAACCAGUCAUCAGUUCACACUUCUAAAGACCAAGUUUUCCCAUCCAAAUCUUUUCAAAAUCCAUUCUCACAGCCCAUUGGAAUAAGUCAAGUUCAAGAAAACGCAAAAGUGAUCAACCUUAAUAAAUGAAAUAUUAACCAGGUGAUGAUUGAAGAAAAAUUAAAGGGAUUAGGUCAAAGAAUAGCAAUGUACAGCGAAAGCAAGGAAAGUUGGG